GCUCCGGUGGCCUAGUGGUUAGAGCGUCUGCCUCGGACGCGUGAGGUCGUGGGUUCGCAUCCAGGCUGAAUCA